AUAGAUCAAACAAAUAAGAUCAAAUCGUCAAUUUUUCACUAGUUAUUGAAAUCAGAAACAAUAGAAAAAUAAAAACAGUUUACAAAUUUUUAUUUAAUUUAGAAUUCUUAAUCAGUGCUUGUGAAAAUCAGGAUCCUUGACCACCGUGACAGGACAGGUUGCAUGAGACAUGACAUAGUUGGUCACACUUCCCAUAAAUAUCCUUUGGAGGGUAGUAAGGCCUCUACUACCCAUAACCAAAGAAUUCAAUUUCAAAUCUUCAACAGCUUCACACAAUCUCUCCCUUGCAUCUCCCCAAUAUAGUUUGGUCACAAAUUUUAUCUCUUUCUGCCUAGAAGCAGUAUCAAGCAUAUCAAGAAGUUCAAUAUCAAUCUCCACACCAUAUUUCUCUAAUACUUCUGGCUCUCUAAACUCCGCCAACGGAAUCAAAGGCGAACCAGAUUUAGCCCAUAACUUAUUACGUGACUCAUCAGAAGAAUGAUUCUUGAUGUGAAUGAUGUAAAAAAUAUCAUCUUUAUCAGCCAAGUUAUCAAUUGCCCAUUUCAAAGCUGUUUUGCUACUCUUUGAAAAAUCCAUUGCAACACCAAUUGUUCUAUCUUUCACCAUUUU
rnacentral:misc_RNA from 1 species